rnacentral:lncRNA from 1 species
UUAUCAUAAUAUAAAAUCAAACGAAAUCUGAGUGCAAGUAGCAACUUGAAAAAUAAAUCUAUGUGUUGAACAAACGAAAAAAGGAAAACUUACAAACGAAGAGUGGGAGGAUGAUGCGCGCGCGAUAGAUGAGAAGCGACGAGGCUACGAUGACUAUGGUUGAGAUGCGGUGGCGAGGUGUGACGGUGGUGAUUUGAGAUGCGACGGUGAUGUGUGAGAGUGGUGGGUUGAGAAUACGCGAGUGUGACGGUGUGAGGGUUUUGUUACGAUAGGCCUAAAUUGAGGAUUUUUUAUGAACAAUUUGUUUUAGAGUUAGCCCUAAAUUGUUAGUUAUGCAAAAAUAGGUCCUUGAUACAUUUCUUUUUUAGCAAAAUAUGUCUUUGUAACAAAAAAAAUUUCUUAAAAAUAUUGAAUAAUUUUAAUGUUUAUACAUGAUUUUUCUUUACUUUUUUAUAAACAAAUAUAAUAAUUAUAUUUUUUGAGAAUUUCUAUAGUAAAUUUAAAAAUUUAUUUAUUUUGAUAUCAUCAAACUAAAUCGUGAAUGGUUAAAUAAUAUGUCAAUUAGUUUGACUAUAUUUUAAAUUUAAUAUCGUUAAAUUUUUAAUUUUUAUCUUUUAAUUUUAUUUUCAAAUAACAUUUUUUGUCAUAAUUUUAAUUAAAAAUAAAAUUUUAUUUAUGAAAACAAUUUAUUUAAUUACUGAAUUCAAAAUUAAAUAGAGAAAUUUAUUAAAACUCUUAAUUCAAUGAAUUUAAUAGACAAUAUACUAUAACAUUUAAAAAUUACAAUAAUAUUACUAGUGGAGCGGGUUCGGGUGAAGAAAUAUAACACUCCAAAUCAUUUGUGUUCCAAAUUUUAAUUUGGGGAAAAAUCCAAACCCAACACUAAAUCAAAACUAAUUUUCCUUUCCAAAUCAAGAUGGAUUCAGAUGCAUACUACGAGUCCGAAUUAUAUUAUCAUCUUUAAUUGUGGAACUUGUCUUAUAUUUUUUAUUUGUUUAAAAAGUAAUUCUACCUUAUUUAUAUAAAAAUAAAAUCAUAAAAAUUGACAUGAAAUUUACCUGCGGAAUUUCCUAAGAAUAACAUACUUAAACUUUGCAACGAAUUUGCUGCGAAAUUUGCUACGGACAUUGAUAAAUCCUAUGAAAAAAUAUGAACGUUGCUGGGAAACAUAGUCGUACGUAAAUCCGCAACAACAAAAAAUGUUACCUGCCGUUUACCUGCAAAAUAUGGUACCGCAGGAAAAGUCUUAAGAUAAUUGCAAACCGCAGGAAAAUCCUCAUGUAUUACCAGCGGAAUUGUGUCCGCAGGUAAAAAGCAAAUUUCUAGUAGUGUUAUCAUAAUAUAAAAUCACAUACCAUUUUUAUUAUAAUUUAUUCUAAAGGGAGUAUAUAUAUUAUAUAUUAUUUCGAAAACACAAAUUAUAACCACAUGAAAAUAAUAGAAUUGGAGAUAACUUACCAAAAGGUUACUGCAAUUUUCAAAAACUUCACGAGUUGGCAGAAUAUUUUGUCCCUCGGUCUCUUGAGGAAUUAGAUUGCAAGUAUAAGAGAAAUUCCAUAAGUUUCGAGAAUAAAUUCUAAGACCCUUUGGAGGGCACUUUAGAGAAUCAAUCACCAAAACUUGAAGCUCCUCAAUAUUAACAUAUAUCUCUUUAACAUUCAACAACAAAAGCUUCAACAAUAAAAAAAUAUUUUUUAGACACUUUAAAACAUAAAAUUAUUUAUCUAUUUACUAUAAUCAAUUUUAUAUAAUAUACAUUAUCAAUUGAUAAUGAAGUCAAUUAAAACUGGUGCGACCAACUUUAAACUUCUUUCGUUUGGAAAUUGGUGCGACCAACUUUAAGCUUCUUUUGUUUGGAAGCUGGUGAACUGUAUCAAAAAAAUAAAAUUAUUAAAAAAAAGCUAUUUCCAAUGCAUCAUAGGGUAAAAUCAUGCAAAUAAACUGAUGAAAGACCCAUUAGUUUUAUUUCCUACUUUUUAUAUAGUUUAGUGGAAAUUUCUUUGUAUUAAUUGAUAAUUUUAAAUUCAAGUGGUUACAUUUAUAACAACUUCUCAAGGGAAAGAUGAACCAUAUGCUCUGUAUCCAUUGGUAAUAAAGCUUUAGCUCUCAAUCCAUGAACAAUAAUUUGCGCAUUCAAUUCAAUAAUCUCUUGGACAAUUAACAUUAUCAUAGACAUAUAGUUUUAUUUAGUGCAUUGUUAUAAACAUUAAAGAGCUUACUUUACAUGUCCUUGAAGAAUUGGUUGAAUAUCGGCACCAACACUUGUACUUAGCUCUUCAACAGUUGAAGAAACCUCGUUAUUACAGUUCAGUAGGUUGCACGCAUCUAAAAAAUCAGAAGAUUUCACCAUAUCUGGUAUAAGAGAUGAGUCUUUUAUCUCUGCUUUGAGAUUUUCCAUCAAAACAAAUGCUGCAUAAAGGUUAGUAUAAGGUUAGAGAAUCCAGCUAUUUAAAUAGUUCAACUAAACCAUAACCAUAUAUUAUCUAUGACACUGACAAUAAUUCGUGAAAAUGAAUAAAUAAAAUGUAAUCAAUCGUGUCGAACACCAGGACAUGCAUUCAAUCAGAAGUGUCGGUGCUAUAGAGAUUACGACAUUCAUUCACCAGCAAUUCAUUUUAUCUAUGCAAUAGUGACUCAAUCGGGGCAUUACACAGUCCAACAUACACCAGAGACAACCUUCAAUGAUUUCAAAAGAUCCAAGCAAAAAACAUUAUGAAAUAUUAAUUUAAAUGAUUUUUGUUGUACAUGCUGAAGGUCUAAUCCAGAGGUUAAAACAUUACAGCUAAUCCCAACGACAAAGGAUGUGUCUUUUUUUUUUCUUGUUUAAUUUUUGAACUAAAAAUUGUUGAACUGUCUCAUCUUCAGUAUCAAGAUUCAAAAUCAUAUACCAAAGAACGUUAUGCAUUUGAAAUUUUAAAAAGACAUGCAAAUAAGUAUUAAACAAAUGCAUACAACAUACCAAUGCCUCGAAGCAUCUUAAGGUCAAAUUGAUCAGCCAAUUUCUUACAUCCUAUCUUUGUUGCCCGCUUAAUUAUCAACAAUUUCAAGCUAAUCAGCAUAUCCUGCCAAGGUUACAAAUUUGAAUACCAAAAGUUAAGAACUUGCAUGAAAAAUCACCAAGGUGAGAGGUGCAGACUAAAAUUUAUGAACACACGUAACCAAACUUGCCAUGAUUGGUCACGUCUAUUUCAGACUAGAAUUGCGCAUAUAACACGAUCAAAGCCACAUGUAGUAUUCCCCAACCAGUUUUUAAUGAACUGGUUAAAGGCAUAUUGAUUUCUUUCAUAUACAUAAAAAAAGAAAGUUUUAUGAAAGAGAGAACAGGAAAAUUAAGAGGAAGAUAAGAUCUCCUACAAAAAUAAACCGAAAGAGAACAAAUAAAUACUACUAAAAAUUGCUGCACUAUCUAAUCUCUAAGAAUAUUAGUAAUGAUAACUCUGUCCUCCAAACAUGAUACAACAAUGAGCACCAAGAAUAAUCCAUCCAUAAAUGCAAUCAUACCACAAAUAUAAUAGCAAAUCCAUAUCCUAAAACAUUGUGGGCAUUUGUCUUCCAUCAAAUGUACAAUACCAGUACAAUAUCAUAAAAACACCCUACUGCUAGUAAAAAACUGUUGUCACCAGUUAAUGCCACAAUUAAAAUGAACAAAGAUAAAUUGCUCCAACCUUGGUAAAGAGGCAAAAACCUAACAACUUAUCCCAAAGGAAACUAGCUACUACAAAAAUAUCAAUACAAUAGUAUAUAAAGAAGAGGAAUAAUUCUGGCAAACAAUUAGAUUCCCUUCAUUACUAUUGGACAGUGUUGUCAGAUACGGGCUAUAGCAAGGCUAUAAUGUAACAAAUCACUAUUUUUCUGCAAUACGCUAUUUAAUACAAAGUGUUGUCAAAUAGCAGCUAUAGUGGCACUAUAGCAAUGUAGGAUAGCGGAUUUUGAACAAACAACUAUUUUCUGCGAUUUGCAAUUAACAACAUUGCUUCUAUUACUAUUAUAAAAUUUUGUUUUCAAGUCUCCUAUCCUCUUUAAUUAUCAUUCUUACAUAUUCAAUUUGAAGUGUGGAUGCUAUAAUGGUGAUGUUAAUGAACAUUGAAGAGAAAAAAGACUUACAAUCUCAGAUUGUGAAAGUGAACAGAGCCAAGCUACAUCUUGAACCCUAGUCUCGCUAAUUUUAUCCAACUCAAUCAAACUUUCCAAUCUUCUCUUAUAUUCUUUGCCCUUCUUCAUAGGAUUAAAUUAUUGAGACCUGAAUUCUUGAUUGAAUUGUAUUGAAAAUACACAAUUGUUAGGUAACAAAGUGAAUGGGUAAGAAACAAUUUCAAUAUAAUUGGAUGCGAAGUCAGAGGCGGAGAGGGUCAGGAACAUAUGGAGCGGGUCAGGAACAUAUGGAGGCAAAACUGUUAUCAGGAACAUAUGUUUGAGGGAAACGUUAACAGUCUAAUAACGAUAUAUUAUUUGAGGGCUACUAUAAUUUUAAAUAUUUUAAGAAAAUUAUUUUGAUUUUUUUCUCUUUAAUUAUUUUUAAUAUUUGUUAAAAUAAUAAUCGUAAGACCAUAGAAAAAUAAUAAUUGUUUAAGUUAUAUAAAUUUUUUUAUGUUUUGUUCUAAAAUGUCGUUGUUGAAUCUCCCAAAUAUCUUUUAAAUAUGAAUAAAAAUACAAAAAAUAUGUUUAUGUGACUUAAUUAUUUUUAUUUAUUUCAUGUGUAAAAGCAGUCCAAAUCCGAGACUGAAAAUACAUUGUCUUUUAUAUACCAUUUUUUAUUUGUAUACUUUUCGUUGAUUUUUGUUUUUUUGAAUUUUAAAUAUAUUUUUAUUCAUUUUCCUUCUAAAGUAGAACUUUAAACUCUUCUUAUGGUCUUUUUUAUUUGUAUUAAACUAGUUCGUAACCCGUGCGUCGCACGGAAACAACGAUUUUAAUAAAUAAAUUAUUAUAUUAGUUUAUAUAUAUAUAUAUAUAUAUAUAUAUAUAUCAAAUUUUAUAAAUUUUAUUUUAUUGAUAUUAAAAAAAUAAGUUGACUUAAAAAAAAUAAUUUAAAAUUAAAAAAUUAAAAAAAAUCUAAUUAUAANNNNNNNNNNNNNNNNNNNNNNNNNNNNNNNNNNNNNNNNNNNNNNNNNNNNNNNNNNNNNNNNNNNNNNNNNNNNNNNNNNNNNNNNNNNNNNNNNNNNNNNNNNNNNNNNNNNNNNNNNNNNNNNNNNNNNNNNNNNNNNNNNNNNNNNNNNNNNNNNNNNNNNNNNNNNNNNNNNNNNNNNNNNNNNNNNNNNNNNNNNNNNNNNNNNNNNNNNNNNNNNNNNNNNNNNNNNNNNNNNNNNNNNNNNNNNNNNNNNNNNNNNNNNNNNNNNNNNNNNNNNNNNNNNNNNNNNNNNNNNNNNNNNNNNNNNNNNNNNNNNNNNNNNNNNNNNNNNNNNNNNNNNNNNNNNNNNNNNNNNNNNNNNNNNNNNNNNNNNNNNNNNNNNNNNNNNNNNNNNNNNNNNNNNNNNNNNNNNNNNNNNNNNNNNNNNNNNNNNNNNNNNNNNNNNNNNNNNNNNNNNNNNNNNNNNNNNNNNNNNNNNUUAGUACUACUCACAAAAUACUAAAGAAAAAUAAUUUUCCCGUUACAAACAAAAAAUUACAAUACACAUAAAAACUAUGAGUGUCUUUUAUCUUUGAAUUUGCAUGUUAGUCUUCAUUAAUCUUUCAUGAAUCUUUUGAAUUCUUUUGAAUUUGCGUGAUAUUUAAUAAUAAAUUUAGAAUAUAAAAUGUAUAGUAUAGUAGUUUUUAAAUUUGAUAAAAUAGUUUUUGAAAUCGAUGAAGUGAAUUGUUUCUUUAAUUCCUACAUAAAUUUUAUAUUUUUUUAAAUAAAUUAUUAUUUUUUUCUUCAAUAUUCUGAAAAUUUAAUUGAAUUCAUUGCUCUAAAUAAAUUUUAUAUUUACUUGAAUAAAUUAUUUGUUAGACAACUUAUAAUCAAAAUUAUUAGGACGGGCAACAAUUAUUUAUGAGAAUUUAAAAUCGGAGUUAUUAAGACAAAUCUUGUAUAAGAGAAUAGAAAUAUAAAUAUACAAAUGUACAAUUUGUUAACUAUUUAUGAGUGAAUUUAAAAUCGAAGUUAUUAAGACAAAUCUUGUAUAAGAGAAUAGAAAUAUAAAUAUACAAAUGUACAAUUUGUUAACUAUUUAUGAGUGAAUUUAAAAUCGGAGUUAUUAAGACAAAUCUUGUAUAAGAGAAUAGAAAUAUAAAUAUACAAAUGUACAAUUUGUUAACUAUUUAUGAGUGAAUUUAAAAUCGGAGUUAUUAAGACAAAUGUUAUAUAAGAUGAUAGAAAUAUACAUAUACACAUACAAAAUUAAGAAACAUAAACAAUACAAAAUAUAUAUAUGCAUAACAAAACAAUAUAAAAUAACAAUCAUAGAUUGAAAUUUUUUUACCAAUUCAAGUAAUUAAUUCGUGUGAACACAUCGUUAGGCGCAACACGAACAAAUACAUAGUUUCACCAGGAAUAUUAAUCUUAAUUCAAUAAAUAAAAGCUCACGAAUAUUAAUCUCAGUAUUAUUCCAUUGCAUAAAAGUUUUGUUUAACAUUGAGGAGAUCAAGACAAAAACCACAUUCGCACACCUCUAACAACCAAAUUCCAUGACUCAUUUCUUGGAGAAAUUGAAGCAACAAAAUAUGAUUUUUGUUUCAGACAUUGGAUAAAAAUGAAUAAGAAAGCUUUGAUAAAGAAAGCUUAAAAGGAUUGUGUAUACAUAGAUAAUAUGAAUGAUAUUUAUAAGGGAGACGCAAGAAAUGAGAGAGUACCAAAGAUAGACUGUUAACGGAGUUUUAAAAGAAUUCGUAAAAUAAAAUAAUUUUUUUAAUUUAAUUAAUUUGAAGCGGGUGGUUGCUAAAGUAGUGUUUAAAAAACGAGUUUUAAAAGAAUUCGUAAAAUAAAAUAAUUUUUUUAAUUUAAUUAAUUUGAAGCGGGUGGUUGCUAAAGUAGUGUUUAAAAAACAAUUACAAAAACUGUCAAGUCGUGGUGUUAGUGACUGUAUUUUGCUGUUAUUCUUCUUUUUUAACUGAAGUUUUGUUUAACAUUGAGGAGAUCAAGACAAAAACCACAUUCGCACACCUCUAACAACCAAAUUCCAUGACUCAUUUCUUGGAGAAAUUGAAGCAACAAAAUAUGAUUUUUGUUUCAGACAUUGGAUAAAAAUGAAUAAGAAAGCUUUGAUAAAGAAAGCUUAAAAGGAUUGUGUAUACAUAGAUAAUAUGAAUGAUAUUUAUAAGGGAGACGCAAGAAAUGAGAGAGUACCAAAGAUAGACUGUUAACGGAGUUUUAAAAGAAUUCGUAAAAUAAAAUAAUUUUUUUAAUUUAAUUAAUUUGAAGCGGGUGGUUGCUAAAGUAGUGUUUAAAAAACGAGUUUUAAAAGAAUUCGUAAAAUAAAAUAAUUUUUUUAAUUUAAUUAAUUUGAAGCGGGUGGUUGCUAAAGUAGUGUUUAAAAAACAAUUACAAAAACUGUCAAGUCGUGGUGUUAGUGACUGUAUUUUGCUGUUAUUCUUCUUUUUUAACUGACCACUAAAUUCUCAACAGUUAAACCAAGUAGUGGUGUAGUGUAUUUUUAAUCCAUUCUUUUUAUUUUUAUUCUUUUAUUUUUUUAAUUGGCCACUAACUUUUCAACUGACGCAUGUACAAAGUCGUGUAACAUAAGUUUAAUUUUAUUCUAAAAAAAGAGAUAUUAUAUUGUAUAGAUUACCUUUCAAUUGGCCACUCAAUUCUCAACCGUGAAAUGUGAAAUGUCAGGUCGUGCAUUAUAUUUUAUUUUUAAUUGGUCAUUCACUUCUGCAUUUCUCAUGUAAUAGAAGUUUUAUUUUUGUCUUAAAAAAAUCUUUUAUUUUUAAUUUAUUUUUCUUAUUUUUUAAUUGACCAUUAACUUCUCAACGGAUACAUGUCAACGGAUACAUGAAAAAACUGUAAGUCGUGGUGUAUUGUAUUUUAUUUUUAAUUUUUUAAUUGACCAUUAAAUUGUAUCGUGGACAAAGAUCGUGAUGUAACAGAAGUCUUAACACUCUAGUUUGUUGACACGUGUCAAACUUGCCAAUUUAUCAUGUUUGCUUUAUUAUAAUGUAUAGAUUUAAACUAUGUAAUUUUGGACGAUUUUCAUUCUUGAUAAUUUAAUCAAUUUUGGAUUUUAAAUAGUUAAAACUUUGUAUUUAUUCAUUUGAAAUAAUACAAUAGAGAACUUUCUUUUAGUCUCUCUAAUAUGAGAUAUUAAAAAUAUGAAUAAAUUUUACGGAAACUAAACCAAAAAACAAGAUAAAAAAAAAUUUAAAAAAAAAUCAUAUAUUUACAAAGAUUAAAAUAAAUAUAAAAAACAAUAUUUUUUACGGCAAAAAAGUAAAAUAUUGUAUAUGUACGUAGAAACCAAAAAUAUAUGUAAACUUUAUUUUAUCUUAUUCAUGUUAUCAAUCCUUAAUAGUUUACCUAUAUAGACACAAUUUAUGCAUAAUUAUAAAAAAAAGGCAUACCAAAUCUAAGAUGGUGAAAUAAGAUUUAUAGAGCAAUUCGGUAAGAGAACAACUAACAUUUGAUAAUCUUAAUUCAAGAGUCAAGCAUUAGUAUUUUUAAGAAACUAGCAGACAUCUUAUCGUAUUUAAUAUACUUUUCAAAUUCAUCUACCUAUGGUCUGUUAAAAAAAAAUUCAUAAGAACUCAAAUUUACUAUUCACUCUAUAACUCUUUUCUAAAAAUCAAAUUUUAUACCUACUUAGUUACAUAUAUUUUCUCUGUCAUAACAUUAUUCAUGCAAAUUUCAACCAUUAACAUCCAACGAAGUAAACAACAUGUCUCUAGGAUCAAAUUGAGCAAUAAAAAAAAACAGAACUUACAGAUUUCAUAUGCUCAAAAAAAUUCAAAUUUAACACAUUAUACCAACACAUAAAUUUGCAAACAGAAAAAAGCAACAACUCAUUUAAAUAGAACAUAAUUAUAAAUAAGUAAAAUAAGUCUCGUAUUACAAACAUUAUAAAGAAUAUUGUAUUGCAAAUGUGUUGCAUUCAAUAAUGACAUCAUACAAUCUUUCACUUAGACAUCAUUUUCCUUCCUAAAUCUCAUCCAUUGACUUGCAACUAAUUAGAAAAUAUGAAUGGUCUAUAUCAUAUCAAAAUAAAUAUUUAUGUGAAUUUCACUAAAUUAAAUAGGUCUCUGCAUCUCGCUUUCUAUACGAAGAGAUCUAUGUAGAUCAUUUUUUCUCCACAAUAAAUGUUAUGCUAAAUACAAUUUCUCAGUUAAUAUAUUUCAAUCAUUUUUUUUUGCAAAAAACAAUGGUUAUAGAUUGGAUAUGUGAUAACUUCUUGAUUUCAAUGUUUAGAAUAUGACUAUUCUAGAUUUUUGACUUAAAAAGAAUGGAGAGAUUAGUUGAAGCUCUUCUUAGUGACCAUAAAUAUUUUCCUUUGUUCACAACUGUCGAAUCACAAAUUACUUGCAACUUUUUCAUCAUGUAAGCUCUUGUAAUCAAAUGCUUCAAAAAACUUAUUUCCAGUGCUUUGCCAGUAAAUCUUUUCACUGUAACAAAUUUUAACUUCAUACAAACAAAAUCAGGCACUUCUCGAUUCUCCCAGAACAUUGAAUUAGGAAAUGGUAGAGCACAAUCAUCAAAAGUAGCGGUGAAAACUGAUGAUUCCUCUACCUGAAAAAGGAAAUUACAUUCCAAAGGUCAUAUUCGAUGAAAAAUAUCAUUCUCUAAUGUGUAGUAAAAAAUUAAUAUAGUAUUAAAGAUUAAAGUAUAACAAGAUAAAUAGUCACAUACUGGUAUUGUAAUUUCAAGAGUAUUAAGAUGGAAGCACAUUGUUAGUAUGUAAGAAAAUGCCAAAAUAUCUCUUACGUUAUUCAAAUCCAAAUCAAUCGACAAGGUUGAUAGAUUUCGAAAAAUAUUAGCUGGUUUACGUACCUACAUUGAAGAGAUAGUUAGCACAACUACAUAUUAUAAGUAUAGAAAAAUAAAUCAUAAUCCUUAUGAACAAAAUGAACAAGACACUAUAAUAUAAUUCAAACAUUAAACAAUAAUUAUACAUUAUUUUAUCCAAUCCGUAAUCAAAGCAAAAUAAUAAAAUUUUGAAUUGUAUUUUAAAGCAUUCAUUGCAAAUGUUUUAAAUGAGUCUCACAAUCUUCAAUAUGGUGGAAAAUCAUUGCUACUAUAAGCACUAUUAUACGUUGAAAAAUAUAUUUUUUUACUGUUUUAUUAGUUGUGAUUAUAAUAAUAAAUAAAAAAUUGUGAAAUAAGUACUUUUUCAUUACCUUCAUGUCUUUCAUAUGUUACCCUUUAAAAAUUUUAACAGCAGAAGAAAAUGUAUUAGUUCUCCUACUCUAAUUUAUAUGUGUUAAGAUGUGUUUCAUUAAUUCUAAGUGCUAUUCGUAUGUGUUAUCAUUAAUUCUAAGUGAUAUUUGCAGCGCCUGUCUUUUUUUAUCGAAUGCUGAUAUUUAACACUAUUUAAUUAAUUUUCUCUAUUUAUGACUAGUGUUAGUAGCGACAUCUUUUUAAUCAAAAGCUGAUAUUUAACAUUAUUUAAUUUAUUUAUUUUUUCAAAUUAUGAAUAGUGUUAAUAUGUCAAUGUCAAUGUCAAUGAAUAUGUUCAUAGCAAUUUAAUUUCAUAUGUUAUCACAUUAUAGGUCUAAUUAUUUUAAGUUUGUGUUUCAUAUUAACUCAAGCAAAAGAAUAGUUAAACUAAGAAAUUCAAGAAUAGUUUUUUGGUUUAAAAUAAGAAGUUUUUUAUUAAAAAGAAAUUAAAAAGUUACCACUGAAAUUUCAAAUAGCAGAAACUUACAUACUUUGAUUAUAAAAUCUAAUCAAGAAAUUGAUCAUAACAUAGUAUAUAUUAUUUUUAGAAUGAAAUAUAAACAAAAAUAAUAAUUAAAAAGUUGAAGUAUCUUGUCUUAAUUUAAAAUCAGAUGUCAUUUUUAUUAUAAUUUAUUCUAGAGGGAGUAAAUAUAUUAAAUAUUAUUUUGAAAACACAAACUCUAACCACAUUAAAAUAAUAGAAUAGGAGAUAACUUACCAAAAGGUUACUGCAAUUUUCAAAAAUUUCACGAGUUUGUAGAAUAUCUUGAGGAUCUGAAAGAGGAUCUAAAUUGCAAGUAUAAGAGAAAUUCCAUAAGUUCUGAGAAUAAAUUCUAAGACCCUUUGGAGGGCACCUUAGAGAAUCAAUCACCAAAACAUGAAGCUCCUCAACAUUAACAUCUAUCUCUUCAACAUCCAACAACAAAAGCUCCAAAUAUUUAAGAUUUUUGUUUUCAAUCUUGAGGCUAUCGAAACCAUCUGACUCAAUGAGACAAAACUUCUCUAAACCAAAACAAUUUUUCAAAAUUCCAUUGAUGAUACUAUCCACCAUAGACAUUUUCUCCAACUUCAAAAUUUUCAACUUUUCACAACUUUUAAAUGCAGGUAAAACCGAAUCUAUAAGUUUGUAGUUAGUCAACUGAAGUGAACACAAAUUUGAAAAUAUCUUAGGCUUAAAUUCAUCACCAAUCAUAGUUAAACAGUGACACUCCAAACUCAAAGAACUUAACUUUUUUCUCUCCACAACAAACUCAACCAAUGUUUUCAAAUGUCCAAUGGAAACAUUUUGAUGAAGAUGUUUGAAGCAACAACUAAUCAAAUAAUCACCAAUAUGUUGAUGCAAUAUAGUGUUAACAAUUUCACUAUAUUUCUUAGCAUGUUCUUCGGUGGCUAAGGACUUCAAAAAUUUAUUAUACGAAAUUCGGUUAUAAACUUUUGGUAAGGGUUUCAACAUGUGAGUCCAAUCAAAAUCAAAGUGAGAAACAUUAUUUCUCAAAUAUAUCCAUCUCUUUGAUAGAACACUUGUUUUUACGGCAUCAUCAAUCGAAAGAGAAGAGAUUAUGAGAAACAAAAUAUCAUCUGGUAGUUGACUUAUGAAAUCUACUAUUUCCUUUCCAUUCACUUCCUUUUUUGAUGAUUGUAUAGACAUAACUUUCUUCACCCGGAAAUUGAAAUUUUGAUUGGUAACGUUCACAUAACCUAUUUUUGAUGAAAAUAUUAAGAACGUAAUAAAUAUAAAUAUAAAUAUAAAUAUAAAUAUAAAUAUAAAUAUAAAUAUAAAUAUAAAUAUAAAUAUAAAUAUAAAUAUAAAUAUAAAUAUAAAUAUAAAUAUAAAUAUAAAUAUAAAUAUAAAUAUAAAUAUAAAUAUAAAUAUAAAUAUAAAUAUAAAUAUAAAUAUAAAUAUAAAUAUAAAUAUAAAUAUAAAUAUAAAUAUAAAUAUAAAUAUAAAUAUAAAUAUAAAUAUAAAUAUAAAUAUAAAUAUAAAUAUAAAUAUAAAUAUAAAUAUAAAUAUAAAUAUAAAUAUAAAUAUAAAUAUAAAUAUAAAUAUAAAUAUAAAUAUAAAUAUAAAUAUAAAUAUAAAUAUAAAUAUAAAUAUAAAUAUAAAUAUAAAUAUAAAUAUAAAUAUAAAUAUAAAUAUAAAUAUAAAUAUAAAUAUAAAUAUAAAUAUAAAUAUAAAUAUAAAUAUAAAUAUAAAUAUAAAUAUAAAUAUAAAUAUAAAUAUAAAUAUAAAUAUAAAUAUAAAUAUAAAUAUAAAUAUAAAUAUAAAUAUAAAUAUAAAUAUAAAUAUAAAUAUAAAUAUAAAUAUAAAUAUAAAUAUAAAUAUAAAUAUAAAUAUAAAUAUAAAUAUAAAUAUAAAUAUAAAUAUAAAUAUAAAUAUAAAUAUAAAUAUAAAUAUAAAUAUAUAUAUAUAUUAUCUCUUAUAAAAAAGAUAUAAUGUUUUUUGUUACAAGAUAUUAUCUAAUUUGUAAUUUAAAUAGUCUAACAAUAAGAAGAAAACAAGAUCUAAUCACGUUAUGAUCUUAUUUUCCAAAAAAAUUAAAAAAUAUACGACUUUAUUCGUUAUUUGUUUUUCAGACAACAGUAUACUAACUCAAAUUUGUUUUGAAUGUAUAUUUUAUUUAUUUUUAGGAGUGUAUUAAUUCAUUAAGAUUUGAAAGAAUUUAAAUAGAUUUAUUCUUUUUAUAAUAAAAAAGUCUUGUAGUGUUCCAUUGAAAAUUUAAUAUAAUAACUCAACAGCUAACUCCUACCAUGUCUCCCCCUAUAAUAUAAUAAAUUUAUAUUUUUAUAUUUUUAUUCUUUGUGACUCAAUAUUUAAGAAUAAACGACUUCUAAAAUUUACUCAAAAUGCUUAUCCCAAUUUUCUUUAUUAUUUUUCUAAAAUAUUUCUUUCACAAGAACUAUUUCUUACGAAGAAAAAGAAAGAUACACUAAAUGUCUAAACAUAAUUUUACAUCAAUAAUAAAUGGUAAUAAUUGAUUUCAUUAUAUCACUACAUAUUUAUAAUUUUUAUCAUUAAAUAACCACUUAUUUAAUUAUUUGUGUUUAUUGUUAAUAUAAAAUUAGUUACAUAUUGUGUCAUCAAACCAUUUUCUAAAAAUAUAUGUUAAUAUGUAAAAGGAUUAUAUAGUUUUGGUGUAAGCUGUUUUCCAAAUUUAGUCUUUCUAUUGUUGCUUAUCUCUCAACAACUUUAUUUUUUUAAACAAAACUUAUUUUAUAAAAAAAAUAAAUAAAUAAACAAUUGAAGUAGACUGUAAAUAACAAUUUUCUGGCAAUAUAUUAAUAAUACAUUAAUUAUUUUGUUCCCGCUGGUUUAUCAUUAAGAUAUCUUUCAAGAGAUGUAUGUGAUCGAUAUAGUUUUGAUCUUAAGAUACAAUGUAGUAAUAUAAUAGCUAAAAAGUGUGUACCUGAUAUGAAAUAUAUGCCUUGGAUGGCUAUGGCUGGAAACUCAGAAAACUAAGAUUAGCAAUUUAAUAACAAUAUAUAUAUACACAUUAUAUUUUAUAAAAAAAUAUAAUAUCUUAUAGUCUAACGAUAAAAACGAAAAAAAAUCUAACCACCAUAUGAUAUUAUUUUUUCAAAAAAAAAAUUGGAUGAAUUUUAGUUUUGAACCAUAUUUUAAUUGAUCUCUAUCUUUUUUGUUUAGAGUGCAUUCAAUUAGAAUUUAAAAAGAUUUAUUUACUUUUUUUAUAAUGAAAAAGUCUUGUAAGAUCAAAAUUUUAAUGCAGUAACUAAAGAAGAUAUUUUUUUUAUCAUUCAAUAUUUGACACAUCAUCACAUUAUUUUAUAAAUAAAUAAAACAAUCUUCAAAAUUUACUCAAAAUUCUUAUGAGGAAAGUUGAUACAGUUACGGUAAAGACAUCAUCCAAUAAGAAGACAUGACAAGAUAAAUAGUUGAGUAUGAAACUAUGUUACAUUGAUAAUGUCUAUUAAAUUCAAUUCUUAUCCCAUUUCUUUAUUUAUUAUUUUCCAAAAACAUUUUAAUUACAAGAACCAUUUUUGUUAAAGAGAAAAAAAAUAGAUAUAUUGUUCUUAUAGAUUAAUUUUACACUCAUAAUGAAUAGUAACUCUUAAUUUCAUCAUCAGAUAUAAUUAUAACUUUCAUAAUUAAAUAACUACUUAAUUAAUUAUUUGUGUUUAUUUUUAAUAUAAAAAUAUUUUGUUGACUCUGUAUGAUCAUUAAACUAUUUUUUUUUUAAAGUGUGUGUUAAUAUAUGGUUAUCUCAAAAUAACUUAAUUUCUAUGUAUUAUUGGUAUAAAAAAUUUACACUAUAAAUCAUUCAAAAUCAAUCAUAUUUGUGAUUAUUAAGGAAAUGAAAGUAAAAGGAUUAGCUAUAUAUAAAAUAAAUAACACUGAAUGAACAAAUAAAUAAAUCUAUAGUUAUAUAUAAAAAUAAUUACUUAGUUUUUGUGUAAUUUUUUGUUUUCCAAAUAUAUUAUUCGGGUUGUUUAUCUCUCAACAACUUUAUUUUUUAAAACAAAACUUCUUUUAUUGUUUGGAUUGGUAGACGACGUGAUAAAUACUACUAAAAACUUACUAACAUGUGAAGUUAUGUCGAUUAUAACAAUAUUGACAUUUAAGUCUUAAACAACAAAACUACUUUAAUUACUUUUAUUUCUUUAGUUACUUAUAAUUAAUUGUGAAAAAUUAAUGUUAACUUAUAUAUAUUUAUUUCUUGUUUUUAAAAUAUAAAUAUAAUAAUUUUUAUGAAAAGAAUAUAAUGAUAAAAGUAUAUUCAAAAUAUAAAGGAAAACUAAUUUUAUUAUUAUUAUUAUUAUGUUUGAUAAAACUGCGAUAUUGUUCCUACAUAUCUCCCGGUGCGAUGGAGAAAUGAAAAUUAUGUAGUUUUUUGAUAAAAAAAUGCGGAUGUGUUAAUUGUUUAAACAAAAUGUGUUUGGUUACAAUAAAAAGAAAUUGUUGAUUUAAUGAAAGAAAAGAAAACCUUGAGUCUGAUAAUUGAUUUUGAUGAAAAUGUUUGGUUUUUUUUUUUUGGAUUUGGUUAAGAAAAUUUAAUAUCACCAAUUUGUCACAACUUGAUCUUCUUAAAUUAUCACUGACAAGAUGUCACAUCUCAGUCGAUCUUAUUUUAUUAAAAGGAUAAUUAUUAUUUAGAGUUUAAGAUCAUCAAGGUGUCGUAUCUCAAACAUCUUAAAACUAAGCUUGGCAAAAUGUAAUAUUUCAACAAAUCUUUUUAGCCACAUUGCUUUUGAAGAACAUGGAUUUUCAUUUUGUUAAAGAUGAUAAUGAUAAAUCUAAAAAUGAAUUUUGAAUGCUUAUAACUUCAAUAGUGGUUGGUAUUGAUUGUAGUUUACAUUGAUUUAUUUUUUAUUUUUUAUUUUAGUUUGAUUUUUAUUCAUUUUUCUUCUAAAGUAGAAUUUCAAACUCUUCUUAUGGUUUUUUUUUAUGUAUUAAUAACAUUCAUUUGUAUUUAUUUAGGACUAUUUAAUUGGGAUGAUUUUUAUUCUUGAUAAUUUAAUUAAUUUUGGGUUUUAAGUAGAAAAAACUGUGUAUUUAGUCAUUUGAAGUAAAACAAUAGAGAACUUUGUUUUAUUGUCUCUCUAAUAUGAGUUAUAUAAAGAAUAAAAUGAGUAUGAAUUAAUUUUACAGAAAUUAAACUAAAAAACAAGAUAAAAAAGUAAAAAUUCAUAUAUUUGUAAAGAUAAAAAUAAAUAUAAAAAAGACAAUAUUUUUUACAACAAGAAAAGUAAAAUAUUGUACAUAUAUAAUAACCAAAAAAUAUAUGUUAAUCUAUUUUAUUUUAUUUUAUUUUAUCUUAUUCAUGUUAUCAAUCCUUAAUAGUUUAUGCAUAAUUAUACAAAAAAAGCAUACCAAACCUAAGAUGAUGAAAUAAGAUUUGUAGAGCAAUUUGAUAAUCUUAAUUCAAGACUCAAACAUUAAUAUAUCUAAGAAUCUAGCAGACAUCUUAUUAUAUUUAAAUUACUUUCAAAUUCAUCUAGCUAGAGUCUAUAUUAAAAUAAACUUAUAACUCAAUUAUAUGACACAUCACACACUUAUGUAUCAUAUCAUAACAUUUAUUCUUAAAUCUCAUCCAUUGACUUGCAACUAAUUAGAAAAUAUGAACGGUCAAUAUCAUAUCAAAAUUGACAUUUACGUGAACUUCACUAAAUCAAAUAUAACUUCUUGAUUUCAAUAUGACCAUUCUAGGUUUUUGACUUGAAAAGAAUGAAGGAAUUUAUUCCUGGUGACCGUAAAUCUUUUGCUUUGUUCAUAAUUGACGAAUUACAAAUUACAUACAACUUUUUUAUCAUGUAAACUCUUGUAAUUAAAUGUUCCACAAAACUUAGUUCUAGUGCUUUGCAGGUAAAUCCUUUCAGUAUAACAAAUUUUAACUUCUUAUAAACACAAUUAGGGAGUUCUCGUUUCUCCCAUAACGUUAACUUACGAAAUGGUAGAGCACAAUCAUCAGAAGUAGCUGUGAAAACGGAUGUUUUCUCUACCUGAAAAAUAAAAUUACAUUCCAAACAUCAUAUUCAAUGAAAAAUAUAUCAUUCUCUAACGUGUAGUUAAAAGUUAAUAUAGUAUUAAAGAUUAAAGUAUAACAAGGUAAAUAGUCACAUACUAGUAUUGUAAUGUCGAGAGUAUUAAAAUGGAAACACAUUGUUAGUACGUAAGGAAAUACCAAAAUAUCUCUAAUGUUAUUCAAAUCCAAAUUAAUCGACAAGGUCAAUAAAUUUCUAAAAAUGUUGGGUGGUUUAUAUACCUACAUUGAAGAGAUAGUUAGCACAACUACAUAUUAUAAGUAUAGAAAAAUAAAUCAUAAUCCUUAUGAACAAGACACUAUAAUAUUAUUCAAAUAUUAAACAAUAAUUAUACAUUAUUUUAUACAAUCUAAUCAAAGCAAAAUAAUAAAAUUUUGAAUUGUAUUUUGCAGCAUUCAUUGCAAAUGUUUUAAAUUAGUGUCACAAUUUUCAUGUUUUAAAAUUUUGAAUUGUAUUUUGCAGCAUUCAUUUUUUUAAAGCUUUUUACAGUGCUUUACCACAAAGCGCUUUAAAAGGCUUCUUUGUUUCAUUAUGUGCAAGCGCUAUGUGAUCCUUUUACAUGUUAUAUAUAAAGCCCUACUACAACGUGUUUUUGAAAACCUCCUUAUUUUAUUUUUCAAAAAGCUUUUUACAACGCUUUUCCACAAAGCGCUUUAAAAGGCUUUUUUGUUAAAUUAUGUGCAAGCGCUAUGUGACCCUUUUACAGCGCUUUUCCACGAAGCGCUUUAAAAGGCUUCUUUGUUUUAUUAUGUGCAAGCUCUAUGUGAUCUCCUUAUUUUUUUAAAGGCUUUUUAUAGCGCUUAUUGACAAAAGCGCUGUAAAAUUACAAAGUUUAUGUUCUGAUCAGUUUUUGUUAAAUUACAAUAUAAGUUUAGUUUUUGUAAAUUACAAUAUAAUUAGUUAAAUACCUAUAUAUAUAAUUAGUAAAAUACCUAUAUUUGGAUUUGUUUUUUCUUCCAAGUAAUUAGUUACAUAUAUAUAUAUAUAUAUAUAUAUAUAUCACUGCUAAAUUACAUGAUCAGAUCAUAUUGGGAUGAUUAGUUAAAGUUCAAGAAAAAUUCUCAGUACACAAACAAAGCUUUUUCAAGUUCAAUAUAAGCAGAAAAUCAGUUCAGGCAGGUGAAGCUAAGAUCAAGCUAAAUAUAAGUAGAAAAUAAGUAUAAGCAUAAAAUCAAAUACACUUCAAGCUAAAUACUAAAAUGCUCAAUUAUGGCAGAUCAAACAAUUAAAUUACAUGAACUCAGUUCAGAUUACAUGGCAUAUAUAAAACAAUUAAACACGUUAAGAUGUCCUUCUUCUUUUCCUGGUGGAAUUCACAUUUGUUUGACCAUUAACGAUACGAAACGAUGGAUUAAUCCAAAUUCCCUCAUCAUGAUCAUCUCUAAGAUAUAAACCAUCAUCAGUUGAAUCAAUUUCAUGUGGUUGUGAUGUUGCAAAUAAAAGAUCAUUAUCAACACCUUCAUCAUUAUUGUUAUCAUCACUUAUUUUAUUGGUCAAUAGGACAACAUACCAUUUAUCAUCACCAGAAUCAGUGACAUAAAACACUUGUUAAGCUUGCGACGCUAAAAUAAAAGGUUCAUCUUUGUAUCUCACCCUAUUAAAAUCGACAAGCAAGAACACUGACUCAUCAAUCCGAACGCCAUUAUUAUUAUCAACCCACUUGCAACCAAAUAUAAGAACACGAAACAUUGUGUAGUCUAACUCUCAUAUGCGCUCGAUAACCCCAAAAUAUGAUAGAUUUGCAUAUAUUGGGUUUUUGUCUUUUGCACUUGAGACAUGCAUCACUUCAGCUACGAGAGUUAGUGGCAGAGCUUGAUAAAAAAAAUUUGGGGUGGCCGACAUAAAAAUAUAGUAUAUAAAUUAAAUAUAUAAAUAAUAUUAUAUAGUAAAAAAUUAAAUUGUAAUAAAUUAAAUUAAAUAUAUAAAUAAUAUUGUAUAGUAAAAAAUUAAAUUGUAAUAAACUGAAGUAUCAAAUAAUUUAGGAAAUAUAAAACAUCUUAUAUGGAACAACAAAACUAAAACACAACGACAAAAAAACUCAAAUAAAAAUACAACAAAACUCAAACACCUUAUGUUCAACAAAAAAGACUCAAACAUUCUAUAUGAACAUAAAAUCAAACACCUUAUGUGCAACAAAAAAACUAAAAUAAAACUUUAUAUAGACAUAAAAUCAAACACUUACGUGCAACACAAAAACUCUAAACAAAAAUCAACAAUAACGUCUAAUUAAAACUCCAAAUCAAAGCUUCAAACUUAACACUAACAAAAUAAAUUUUAAAUUUCAUGUUAACUGAACAACAUAAGCAAAAAGUAGAAUUACACAAAAAUAUGGGGUACUGCAGUAUAAGUUAAAUUCUUAGGAUUGAUAAAACUCGUGAAUAAGUUAAAUUCUUAGGAUAGAUAAAACUCGUGGAGAAUUCAAAACUAACAUAGGAGCACUAACUAAGAAAAAUUGAAAUCAAAACGAACUAACUAACAGAAUUCCAAAUCAAAAUUAACUAACAAAAAUCAGCACUAACACAAUAGAAAUUCGAAUCUUUUGAACUAAGCAGCGACGCGAUGUGGAGACAGAUGUAGUUGCGGCUAAUAGAGAGGCGAGAGCGGCCGUGGAGGCAGUCAAGCAGAGGCGGCCGCAGGCCCGCAGCAAAUAGAGGAGAAGAUCGUAGAAGGACCGGUACAGGUAGAGGCUGCGGUGGCCGCGGAGUCAGAGAGUGAAGGAGCCGCCGUGGCUAGCUCGUGGAAGCCGAGAUGGGACAAGAUCGGAGGGAGGAGUGCUGUGUGAGAGAAGAACGAGUGUUCUUGGAGUUCUUGUGGAGUCGACGGUGUAGUUGCCGUUGUGGAAGGUGUGAAGCUUGCUUCCAGUCCUUCAAUGGCGGUCACCCUCGGGUUGCAGAGCAUUGCGAGGAUCGAGAUUGCGAAGAGCACUGUGAAUCGCAAAGUUUUUUACGUACCAUUUUAAAAUUUUCAUAUAUCGUCCUAUCGGAUACAUCCAUCUCAUAUAAGUUGUCCCACAAAGUUGUGUCUCCUUACCUUGAUGAACAGUAAGGUGAACCAUUAAGGGUGGGAAAUACAUUUCAAGCUCACACAAAGUAACAACAAUUUCCCUCGGCAAUGUUGGUAAUUUAUGAGGAUCGAUCACUUUACUACAAAUUUCCUUGAAGAAGAAACAUAAUCUAGUUAUGGCUCGUCGAACUUUUUCAGAUAAAAUGGAACGUAUACCUAUUGGUAGCAAAUGCUCCAUUAUAAUAUGACAAUCAUGGGUCUUCAAACCUUUUAACUUGAGGUCUUUCAUACAAACUAAAUUUUUAAUGUUUGGAGAGUAUCCUUCUGGAACUUUAACUUCGUGUAGAAAUUUACAUAAAAUAAUUUUUUCCUUUCUAGAUAGAGUAUGAGCGGCUGGAGGUGAAUAUGUGCGAUUUCCUUUCUUUACGGGACCCAAUUCCUUUCUUAUUCCCAUAUCGACCAAGUCCAAUCUUGCAUUGAUGCCAUCUUUAGACCAAGUCCUCGAUUGUUUGGGUCCAGAAAUUAACAGAGACAACAUCAUAAACUUACGCUUCAUACACAACCAUGGAGGUGUGUUAUAAAUCAAGAAAAUCACAGGUCACGUGCUGUGUGAGAUGCUUUGAACACCAUGUGGAUUCAUUCCAUCAGUAGAAAGUGCAAGUCGUAGAUUUCUUGACUCUAUUCCAAAUUCAGGAUACUCGUGAUCAAUUUUUGCCCAUUAUGGAGAAUCUGCAGGGUGUCGAAACUUUCCAUCUCUAAUACUUUCAUCUGCGUGCCAUGUCAACUGUUUUGAAUCUUCUUCAAUGCGAUACAUGCGCCUAAAUCUUGGUAUUAUAGGAAAAUACCAUACGACUUUUGCUGGAGUAGAUUAUUUCUUCUUAUAUCGAGAGACAUUGCAUUUUAGACACGCCUUUAGUAAUUCAUAUUUGUUUCGAAAUAAAAUGCAAUUGUUAAGACACAUAUGAAUCCUUUCGUAACUCAUGUCAAUAGAGCACAAAAUUCGUUUAGCCUCGUAGGUUCGACUGGGAAGUUCAUUAUCAUCUGGAAACAUAUCUUUUAAGAGUGUUAAUAAUUCUGUGAAGCUUUUAUCAGACCAUCCAUUACUCGUUUUUAAGUUGUACAACUUUAAUAUCGUCGACAGUCUUGUGAAUUUAGUACAACCAUUAUAUAAUGGUUUAUCUACAUCACUCAACAAACUCUCAAACAUUUUAGGACAAUCCCAAAGAUCUUUUUCAACUGCUUUUGCAAUCUCCUCAACUCGGUCUAGCUUAUAUGUAUCUGUGUCGAAAUUAGUUGAAGCAUAUGUCAAACCAUUCUCAAAAUUAAUGUUUCCUUUUUUUUUUCUCAUCAUGUCUUAUCCAACAUGUAUAUCUUUGAUCAAUUCCAUGCCAUACUAAGUGUCCUUCCAAUUCAUAUGCUCUAACGCGUUUUCUAAAACAACAUUUUAAACAAGGACAAACGACUCUAUUUAGAUCUUUUGCAUUCUUCACUGCAAACUCAACAAACUCUUUCACUCCAUUUUCAUACUCUUUUGACAAUCGAUUGGAUGACAUCCAUUUCCAGUCCAUAUUAUAUGACCUAUAUAAAUGCAGCUACACAAAUAUUAAGCUACUGAUAACAUUAUACCAAUAUAUAGUACACGUAUCUAAUAUUGGAAAAUGGAAACCAAGGUCCAAGUCUGAUUUCAAAACAGAACAGAUCAACAAAUUUAAAAAAAGAAUAGAUUUUAUAUGACUCAUUAUGUAACAAUUUAUUAGUUUUAGUGACAACAACAAAUUAAUAAAUACAGUACCUAAGACAAUGUAUCCAAUUUUUUAUAAAGGAGGAGCAGUAGAUGGUCGCACAGUGUAACACCCUAAAUUUUAUGAUAAACUAUUUUAUUAAUUAAAUAAGAUUUUAAAUAAUUAAUUUGAUGUUAAAAUUACUAUAAAAUAUAUGUUAAUAAACUUUGUGAUUAAUUUUUCGUUAUAUAUGUGAUUUAUAUGAUGUGCUAGUUUUAUAAGUAUUAUAUUACAUGAGCGAUAUAAAUAAUAAAUAUUAUAUUUUACUCUUUGAUCUAUUUUUUUUGUAAAUAAUAGUAUUUUAGUGUAAUAUAUAUAUAUUUAUUAAAAGAGAAAGAUUUUAUUCAAUUUUACGUGUAUCCAAUUAAUGUAAUACUUUUAUGUGCGGUUGACUGAUAUCAAAUAUGCUCGUAGUUACAUUUUAAUUAUUUAUAACUAUGUUAUAUUUUUAGUUAUAUUUUUUAUAAAUAAUUAUCUUGAGAUAGUAAUGAUAUUGUGUUUGGUUUCCUUUAUUUUUAUAUGCUUAUUAUGACAUUGUGAUUUUAUAUAUAUUUAUUAAGAUUUAGUAAUUAAUAUAAAGUGUUGAUGUUAUAUUUAUUUAUNNNNNNNNNNNNNNNNNNNNNNNNNNNNNNNNNNNNNNNNNNNNNNNNNNNNNNNNNNNNNNNNNNNNNNNNNNNNNNNNNNNNNNNNNNNNNNNNNNNNNNNNNNNNNNNNNNNNNNNNNNNNNNNNNNNNNNNNNNNNNNNNNNNNNNNNNNNNNNNNNNNNNNNNNNNNNNNNNNNNNNNNNNNNNNNNNNNNNNNNNNNNNNNNNNNNNNNNNNNNNNNNNNNNNNNNNNNNNNNNNNNNNNNNNNNNNNNNNNNNNNNNNNNNNNNNNNNNNNNNNNNNNNNNNNNNNNNNNNNNNNNNNNNNNNNNNNNNNNNNNNNNNNNNNNNNNNNNNNNNNNNNNNNNNNNNNNNNNNNNNNNNNNNNNNNNNNNNNNNNNNNNNNNNNNNNNNNNNNNNNNNNNNNNNNNNNNNNNNNNNNNNNNNNNNNNNNNNNNNNNNNNNNNNNNNNNNNNNNNNNNNNNNNNNNNNNNNNNNNNNNNNNNNNNNNNNNNNNNNNNNNNNNNNNNNNNNNNNNNNNNNNNNNNNNNNNNNNNNNNNNNNNNNNNNNNNNNNNNNNNNNNNNNNNNNNNNNNNNNNNNNNNNNNNNNNNNNNNNNNNNNNNNNNNNNNNNNNNNNNNNNNNNNNNNNNNNNNNNNNNNNNNNNNNNNNNNNNNNNNNNNNNNNNNNNNNNNNNNNNNNNNNNNNNNNNNNNNNNNNNNNNNNNNNNNNNNNNNNNNNNNNNNNNNNNNNNNNNNNNNNNNNNNNNNNNNNNNNNNNNNNNNNNNNNNNNNNNNNNNNNNNNNNNNNNNNNNNNNNNNNNNNNNNNNNNNNNNNNNNNNNNNNNNNNNNNNNNNNNNNNNNNNNNNNNNNNNNNNNNNNNNNNNNNNNNNNNNNNNNNNGAGACCAAUGGGUUUGACCCAUUUGUGAACCCUAAUUGUUAAUAAAAUAAAACAAACAAAAAAAAAGGAAGGGAGUUGGAUGGCGGCCGUAAAACCAAAGAGAAACACAACAACAAUCUAUAGUUUGACACCGAUGAUCGAUAAUUGUUCCAGAAAAGUUUAUCCGUUCUUGUCCAAAUUUCAGUAUGUCGUUUUAUUCAUUUAGGUAGUCAAAUAAACAUAUUUCCUCAGAUUUUUUAACCAUCCAAGUUUCUCUCUAAAAUAUCUGACUUCUCCGUUUAUAAAAUUCCUUAGUUUGAAUCGUUCUCCUUCACCGUAAGUCCGAUUUGAGUGAAACCAACGCCAAAACGACCGUGUUAAAAAUUUCUAUUUUAUCCAAUGAUUUGUUUUCUGAUUUAUGGUAAGUUUCCUUGACCGAAUUUCGAAUUUAGUUUUUAGAGUAUCUUCUCAUAAACUAUUUUUAACAUUUACCCAUAAAAUGUCGAGUUAGAUCGAUUGAUGGACAAAGAGUCAAUGAACAAAUGUUGUUUGCUCGUGGAAUCAUAUUCGUGUGUGAAAGCGUCGAAAUAAGGUAAGGGGUGAGAGAGCGUUUGAAUUCAUGAGUAUAAUAUAUUGUGAGAUGAACGGGAAAACCGUAUUUCACAACAAUUCAUCUGGGGCUCGCUACGUACGACAGUAGCCCUUUGAGUGAUAAAUUAAUUAAUCUGCAAAUAAGAAAAUUGUGAGAUAAAAAUAUGAAAUAGAAAUAUUUAUAAGAUGUUGAUUGAUUUAAUUUCGUUAAAUGUGUGAUAUUUUAUAUUAUUGUGAUAUUUAACAUUAUUGUGAUAUUUGAUAUUAUUGUGAUAUUUAAAAUUAUUGUGAUAUUUGAUGUUAUUGUGAUAUUUGAUAUCAUUGUGAUAUUUGAUUUCAAAUGAAUUUAGUGCAUAUGUUUGAUUAAAUGAGUUUAUGUGAAUGCAGUGUAUAAUGUAAGUUUCUUUGAUGAUGAUGUGUGAUUUAUGAUAUAAAUAUGUGAUAAGUUUAUGUGAUGAUAAUGAUGAUGUUUGAUUGAUGAUAUAAAUAUGUGAUAAGUUUAUGUGAUGAUAAUGAUGAUGUUUGAUUGAUGAUAGUGAUUCUAUAAAAUUGUGAUGAGUUUAUGUGAUGAGAUAUGAUUAAUGAUAGUGAUAUUGUGAUGAGAAUAUUGAAUUAACUCCAUAGUUGAUAAAUAAUGGCGAUUUUAAUUUGUGUUUGAGAUGACGAUUUUAAUGAAGUAUCAUAUACCAACGAGGGGAGAAAAUAAAUAUUGUGACUUUGUGAAGUGGAGAUUAUUUUGUCAUCAUAUAUAGGUAGGGUCUGACAAGCCUAGUGAUUCCGGGGAAGUACAACUGAAUGAGCCUGAUCGUGGCGGUCUGCUGUCGAGCCUUAAUGUAAGAUUGUUAGACCUUUGGAGGUAUUCGGGUGGGGAAUUCCUAGGUGACUUGGAGGUAGCACUCCAAAUGUCGGGAGCUACCACGCCACACACGUUUACCUCGACUAUCACGUAUAUGUGUCUCGGAUUGAGUUGAGGGGAUCUAUGAGGACGGGGCCAAUUUGAAUUGUCCGUCCACCGGGAUGGUGGCAUAGUAUCAAGCCUCCUAACCAAGUACUUCAGAGUUAGAAUGGUACCACAUUGUGAAGUAGAGUCUAAGCUCAUGCAUAGCAUUGCACUUUAUUGUGAUUGUUUUGUUGUGAUUAAUAUGUAUCGCAUGUGGUGAUAAUUUCUCUUAGACAAUUUGUUGUUAUAGUGAAAUUUAUUGAUUUUUCUUGAGUGCUUUUGACUUUUUAAUGUGAUAUUUUCUUGAUGGAAUGUUUGUGUUAUGAUGUGGUUCUAUUAUGAUUGUUUGUGUGUUCUUCUUACUUGUAUUAUACUGUCAUCAUGAUUUUGAAACUCACAUCCUUCGUUGUUUGUGUUUGACUGGCUUGGCCCUGCGUUUGUGAAAUCGCAGUAUUACAGGUUAAUGAAUCUUGAAGUUCAAGUUUGGGAGGAACUACGCUCUGAUAGGUGAUAUCGGGGAUAAGGGCUUAAAUUGUAUUUUACUUAUUUAAUUUAAAACGAAUUUUUGUAUGAAAAUCUUAGAAGUACUAGUAAGUUUUUAAAUUAAAUCAAGUAAUAAUACUUAAAUCAAGCUUAUUGAGAUUACACUAUUUUAACGGAGAAAAUAAGUUUAAAGUGUUCCUUUUGAUUUUUAAGAAACAUGAUAUCCUAAGUUAAAAAUUAAGUUUGUAUUUUCUUGUAAGCAUAUUUUUAUUUAUCUACUGCUAAUUUUAUAGGAAUAUAAUAUAAAUUAAUAUAUAUAUUAUUUUGGGGUUUAGGGUGUCACACACAGUACGUAGAGGAGAGGAGGUUUCACAGAGUAGAGGAGAUGAGGGUUCGUAAAUUUGUUUUAAAUUUGUUUUUAUUUAUUUAAAUUAAAUGAUUUUUAUUUAAAAUUAAUGAUUUUACAGCGCUCUAAUAGGUUCUUUAAUUAUGUGAAAGCGCAAGGCUUUUACAAGGCUUUCACAAAAAGCUCUUUAAAAGCCAUAUAACAUAAGGUGAAAGUGCUGCACUUUACAUCGCUUGUGUUUAAAACGCUCAAAAAGCGUUGUAAAAGCUAUGGGAGAGCGCUUCAAUUUACAGCGCUUUUACAAAAAGUGAUGUAAAAGGGUUGUAAGCAUUAUGUGCAAGCGCUAUGUGACCCUAUAUGACUCUACAACAACGCUUGUAUUUAAUAAACGUUGUAUAAGACGCGCUAUAAAAUGUCAUUUUUGACGUAGUGUCAAUAUUGUGGAACAUCAUUGCUACCAUAUACACUAUUAUACAAGUCUGCACGGGACUCUAUGUUGAAAAAUAUAUUUUUCUACUUUUUCAUUAGUUUUGAUUAUAAUAAUAAUAAUAAUAAUAAUAAUAAUAAUAAUAAUAAUAAUAAUAAUAAUAAUAAUAAUAAUAAUAAAUUUGAAACAAGUACUUUUUCAUCACUUUCAUUUCUUUUUAUAUUUUACCCUUUAAAAAGUUUAACAGUAGAAGAGAAGAAAAUGGAUUAGUUCUGCGACUCUACUUAUAUAUGUUGAGAUGUGUUUCAUUAAUUCUAAUUACUAUUUGUAGCAUCGAUCUUUUAGGUCGAAGGAGUAUUAUGAUAUGCUAUUUAAUUUAUUUAUUUUUUUAAAUUAUGAUUGGGGUAAAUAUGUCAAUAUCAAUAUAUGUGUUCAUAGCAAUUUACCACUAUAAUCAGAUUUUAAGUUUUUUAUAUAAUAUGUUAUUACAUUAUAGGUCUCAUUAUUUUAAGUUUUUGUUUCAUAUUUACUCAUUAAAAAUAAAUAAAAAGUUAACACUGAAAUUUCAAAUAGUAGAAACUUCCAUAUUUUGAUUACAAAAGUUAAUCAAGAAAACGAUCAUAACAUAUAUUAUUUUUAGAAUGGAAUAUAAAUAAAAAUAAUAAUUGAAAAUUUGAAUUAUCUUAUCAUAAUAUAAAAUCAAAAGGUUACUGCAAUUUUCAAAAACUUCACGAGUUGGCAUAAUAUUUUGUCCCUCGAUCUCUUGAGGAAUUAGAUUGCAAGUAUAAGAGAAAUUCCAUAGGUUUCGAAAGUAAAUUCUAAGACCCUUUGGAGGGCACCUUAGAGAAUCAAUCACCAAAACUUGAAGCUCCUCAACAUUAACAUAUAUCUCUUUAACAUUCAACAACAAAAGCUUCAACACUAAAAAAAUAUUUUUUAGACACUUUAAAACAUAAAAUUAUUUAUCUAUUUACUAUAAUCAAUUUUAUAUAAUAUACAUUAUCAAUUGAUAAUGAAGUCAAUUAAAACUAGGGUCUAAAACUAUUUGUUUUUGAAAUAGACGACUAAAAUUACAAUUAAAUAUAAUUUUUUUGGAGGUCAUUUUAUUAAGUAAAAGAUUUAAUUUUGUGUGGAGACCUAAUGGAAUGGACAAGUGUUUCUCCCUUUGUGUCCGUGGUACAUGUUGAAGUUUUGAGACUUUUUAAUGGUAUAAAAUUGAUAAUUGAGCUUCACUUAUGUAUUUUAUAAAUGAACCUAAAAGCCAUUGUAUUAUAUGUCUUUAAUUAACUAUUCCUCUUAGGAUACAAUGGGAUUGAGUGAAAUUCUUGUUAACAGUAAAUAUAUCAUUUCUUGAUAUUAUUUGUAACAAGUGUAGUUUGUUUAAAGAAAAACUAAUAUUAAUUAUUUAUUAAAGUAUUUUGUAAAGACGAUUAUUGUAUAAGUUAAUUUACAUCUCUAUUUUAAUAUUUCAACAUAUAUUAAUAAAAAUAGAGAAAUAGAAAAUAGAAAGAAUUUAAUAUUUUCCAUUAAAAAUAAAUGAAAAAGUAGAGAAAUAGAAAAUAAAAAGAAUUUAAAUUGAUUUUAGAUUCCAACAAAAAUGCAAAGAAUUUGGGAAGUGGGAAAUGGGGAGUUGGGAAAAUAGGUUUUUAUUGUUUGCUUUUGUUUUCUUCUUCACUAUUACUAUUAUAGAUAUAAUUACCAGUAAUACAUUGUGUUAGAAAGUUCACUCAUGUUACCUGUGAAGCACAUUAACUCCUCAGUAGUAACUCUCGAUCUCAUCCUCUUAGUUUGUGAAUAAUGAAUAAACCUCCAAAUAACUUCACGUCACAUCUCCACAUGCAUCGUCACUUAGUAUAACUUUUUUUAUUAAAAAAUUGUUCUACCUUCGUCAUCAUAAUUUUUAUAAUUGUUGUAGUAAUAAGAAAUAUAUAAUUUAGGAAAAAAAAUGCUUGUUAUCAGUCGCUUUCAACCAAUUUAAAUAAAGAGUUUUAAUUAUAACAAUUAUAUUUAAUUUAAUAAAAACUUUACUAAAAAAAUUAAACACUUAAAAUAAAUAAUUUUAAAAAAUGAUGCCAUAUUAAGGGGUAUUAUCGUACUUUCAUAAAUAAUAAACUUGUUUUCUUCAUCAUUAUUUUUUUCUAGACCAAACAAUACACUAAAUCCAUUAUAUAUCUUCCAUAUUUCUCUCUUUUAGAGACUAUAAGCCAUGAACAGUCAGGCACUUUGAUUUUGCUUAAUUUGGAAGGAAAUCAUAUCUUAAGAUUAAACUUUUUUUCUUCCCAAAAUCUAUGGAGACAGCAAUAGCAAUCUCUAAAGCUUGUCCUCCCUUCAAUAAAUAUAAUAUCUGAUCUUGCCAAGACAAUUCGAUCAAUGUCAACAUCAGGUAGUCUAAAGUAACUAUCCUAAAACCAAACGCUAUGAAAGAAUAUUCAUUUAUCCUAAGUAAUUCUAUCCUAAAAUCCCACCCACUUAUGCAUGGACUCGUGCACUUGCCUCACAUUCUUUCAACAGCUUUCUAAAUUCAUCCAACUUAUAUGCUCAAACUAUUUAUCUGUCAUGCAAAUAGCAGCAAAGAUUAUCGAAAAUUAAAACACUCAUGUGUAUAUUAGCCAAUAAGGUCACUCAAAAAUCAAAAUCAGUGUUUCCCCAGCAAAGUUCAUAAGCUAAAUCCUUCAAGUCAUCCUUGAAGAGCAAAAUCUUUUACUCACUGCGACCAACUUUCGGCUUCUUUCGUUUGGAAAUUGGUGCGACCAACUUUAUGCUUCUUUCGUUUAAAAGCUGGUGAACUGUAUUAAAAAAAUAAAAUUAUUAAAAAAAAGCUAUUUCCAAUGCAUCAUAGGGUAAAAUCAUGCAAAUAAACUGAUGAAAGACCCAUUAGUUUUUUUUCCUACUUUUUAUAUGGUUUAGUGGAAAUUUCUUUCUAUUAAUUGAUAAUUUUAAAUUCAAGUGGUUACAUUUAUAACAACUUCUCAAGGGAAAGAUGAACCAUAUGCUCUGUAUCCAUUGGUAAUAAAGCUUUAGCUCUCAAUCCAUGAACAAUAAUUUGCGCAUUCAAUCCAAUAAUCUCUUUGACAAUUAACAUUAUCAUAGACAUAUAGUUUUAUUUAGUGCAUUGUUAUAAACAUUAAAGAGCUUACUUUACAUGUCCUUGAAGAAUUGGUUGUAUAUCGGCACCAACACUUGUACUUAGCUCUUCAACAGUUGAAGAAACCUCGUUAUUACAGUUCAGUAGGUUGCACGCAUCUAAAAAAUCAGAAGAUUUCACCAUAUCUGGUAUAAGAGAUGAGUCUUUUAUCUCUGCUUUGAGAUUUUCCAUCAAAACAAAUGCUGCAUAAAGGUUAGUAUAAGAUUAGAGAAUCCAGCUAUUUAAAUAGUUCAACUAAACCAUAACCAUAUAUUAUCUAUGACACUGACAAUAAUUUGUGAAAAUGAAUUAAUAAAAUGUAAUCAAUUGUGUCGAAUACCAGGACAUGCAUUCAAUCAGAAGUGUCGGUGCUAUAGAGAUUACGACAUUCAUUCUCCAGCAAUUCAUUUUAUCUAUGCAAUAGUGACUCAAUCGGGGCAUUACACAGUCCAACAUACACCAGAGACAACCUUCAAUGAUUUCAAAAGAUCCAAGCAAAAAACAUUAUGAAAUAUUAAUUUAAAUGAUUUUUGUUGUACAUGCUGAAGGUCUAAUCCAGAGGUUAAAACAUUACAGCUAAUCCCAAAGACAAAGGAUGUGUCUUUUUUUUUUUCUUGUUUAAUUUUUGAACUAAAAAUUGUUGAACUGUGUCUCAUCUUCAGUAUCAAGAUUCAAAAUCAUAUACCAAAGAACGUUAUGCAUCUGAAAUUUUAAAAAGACAUGCAAAUAAGUAUUAAACAAAUGCAUACAACAUACCAAUGCCUCGAAGCAUCUUAAGGUCAAAUUGAUCAGCCAAUUUCUUACAUCCUAUCUUUGUUGCUCGCUUACUUAUCAACAAUUUCAAGCUAAUCAGCAUAUCCUGCCAAGGUUACAAAUUUGAAUACCAAAAGUUAAGAACUUGCAUGAAAAAUCACCAAGGUGAGAGGUGCAGACUAAAAUUUAUGAACACACGUAACCAAACUUGCCAUGAUUGGUCACGUCUAUUUCAGACUAGAAUUGCGCAUAUAACACGAUCAAAGCCACAUGUAGUAUUCCCCAACCAGUUUUUAAUGAACUGGUUAAAGGCAUAUUGAUUUCUUUCAUAUACAUAAAAAAAGAAAGUUUUAUGAAAGAGAGAACAGGAAAAUUAAGAGGAAGAUAAGAUCUCCUACAAAAAUAAACCGAAAGAGAACAAAUAAAUACUACUAAAAAUUGCUGCACUAUCUAAUCUCUAAGAAUAUUAGUAAUGAUAACUCUGUCCUCCAAACAUGAUACAACAAUGAGCACCAAGAAUAAUCCAUCCAUAAAUGCAAUCAUACCACAAAUAUAAUAGCAAAUCCAUAUCCUAAAACAUUGUGGGCAUUUGUCUUCCAUCAAAUGUACAAUACCAGUACAAUAUCAUAAAAACACCCUACUGCUAGUAAAAAACUGUUGUCACCAGUUAAUGCCACAAUUAAAAUGAACAAAGAUAAAUUGCUCCAACCUUGGUAAAGAGGCAAAAACCUAACAACUUAUCCCAAAGGAAACUAGCUACUACAAAAAUAUCAAUACAAUAGUAUAUAAAGAAGAGGAAUAAUUCUGGCAAACAAUUAGAUUCCCUUCAUUACUAUUGGACAGUGUUGUCAGAUACGGGCUAUAGCAAGGCUAUAAUGUAACAAAUCACUAUUUUUCUGCAAUACGCUAUUUAAUACAAAGUGUUGUCAAAUAGCAGCUAUAGUGGCACUAUAGCAUUGUAGGAUAGCGGAUUUUGAACAAACAACUGUUUUCUGCGAUUUGCAAUUAACAACAUUGCUUCUAUUACUAUUAUAAAAUUUUGUUUUCAAGUCUCCUAUCCUCUUUAAUUAUCAUUCUUACAUAUUCAAUUUGAAGUGUGGAUGCUAUAAUGAUGAUGUUAAUGAACAUUGAAGAGAAAAAAGACUUACAAUCUCAGAUUGUGAAAGUGAACAGAGCCAAGCUACAUCUUGAACCCUAGUCUCGCUAAUUUUAUCCAACUCAAUCAAACUUUCCAAUCUUCUCUUAUAUUCUUUGCCCUUCUUCAUAGGAUUAAAUUAUUGAGACCUGAAUUCUUGAUUGAAUUGUAUUGAAAAUACACAAUUGUUAGGUAACAAAGUGAAUGGGUAAGAAACAAUUUCAAUAUAAUUGGAUGCGAAGUUGCAACUUUAUUUUGAACAGAAAUAAAAUCGAAACUUAUUGGACAAGAAGUCAGAAACCCUUUCUUAUUCUUCACAAGUCCAACAUUGAAAUCCAAUGUUGAAGAAGAAGCAUAAAGUGGGUAACGCCAGAGGCGGAGAGGGUCGUGAUACAAAAGGGGUUUUCGGUUUUCCCUUUUACAGGAACCAAGGAGGAAAGGAGAAAGACAAUGGAGGCAAAACUGUAGCGUUUAUGAGGAACAUUGUUUAAGGGAAACGUUAACAACCUAAUAACAAUAUAUGUUAAGUAUAUAAAUAAAUAAAAUUCAUCUUUUUGUUUGUUUUUACGAGAUAUUAUCUUAUUAGUUUAAAUUUAAAUAGCCUUACAUAAUAAACAAAAAAAUCCAAUCACUAUAAUAUCUUAUUUUAAGAGAUCAAAUUUAGUUCUUGAAAAUAAAAUUAAAAACUUUUCAAUUUUUUUAAAAAUAAAUCAGUUAAAUUAGUCUUUGAAAAAUUCAAUUAAAAGUCCCUAGAAAUUUAAAAAAAUUAUUUUAGUCUUUAAAAAAAAAUCGGUAUAAUUCAGUUCUUCGCUCAAUUUAUGAAAAAAUAAACUCUAGUGUUAUUUCAUAUAGAGAAAUAACAAGUUUAAGAUAUAAAUUUUUCUUCGCUCUCGCGUUUCUGAAAGUACGUUAUUGUUCUUCGUGCUCGCGUUUUUUAAGGUGCAAUUUCAUGUAAUAUUCAUGAAGGAUACGAUUGUGAUUUAAUUUAGAUAUUAUUGACAUUGUUUUUUUAAAUUAUAUUAUAAUUUAGUGAAUUUUUUAUUGCAGUGAUUAAAUUGUUCAUUUAAUUAUUGUCAGGAAUUUAAUUGUCAAUUUUUAAUUAUUGUCAAUGACCUAAUUGAUCGAGUCACACAAUGACAUGUUGAUAGAGUCACAAAGAGAGACUUUGAUUAUAGUCUUGACUCAGUUGCAUACCAGAGGAGUGAAAAUAGAGUAUUUUAUUAAGACAAUCACUACACAUUUAGAAAAAUACAUUAAAACAUACAUUAUUUUAAUACAUUUUGUUUUCAUCAAAAUACGAAUUAAGGAUCAUUAUUCUUCAAACUAACUUGGUUCUAAAUUGGUGUGCAUUCCAUGCCAAUCGACGUCUCAUGUGACAAAAAUUACUGUCUUUGAGCAACUUACGAUCUUUUAUCUUCUUUCAAGGAUCAUUGUGACGCCGUUUGUCACUUUCAUUGUGACGUUAUUUUCAUUAAACCUGUACUUUUAUUGUUUAUUAUAAUAUUAUUGUAACUUUCAAAUUUCAAUCCUUAUUAUUGCAAUAUUUUAUUGGCUCAAAUUUAACAAAUUUCAAAUUUCAACCAUCGUAAUUUAACUAUUGAAAAUGUUAUUUCAAGUUUAUAUUGUUGACACCUAAUUUUGUCCGCUACUUUAUGAUUUUUAAUAAAUAUAUAUAAAAAAUAAAUAAUAAAAAAAACUAAUAAUGAUGAAAAUAAUAAUAAAAAUAAAUUGUUAGAUUUUUAGAAAAUCAUGAAUUGUGUUUGGUUUCUAUUUGACUUUGAUUCCUUUCUAGAAACUUUUACUAUUUUUUAAAAUAAAAAAAACAAACGUAUUUAAUUGAAUUGAUGGUAAUAAAAAUCAUUAUAAUGGUCAUCAUUUGAAUGAAAAGAAACAAAACAAAUAUGAAUCAAUGGUAAUAAAAAUCAGUAUAAUGGUGGUUAAUUGAAUAGAAAAGAAACCGAAGAAAUGAAUCAAUGAUAAUAAGAAUCAGUAUAAUUGUAGCCAAUUAAAUGAAAAGAAAACGAAAGAAACAGAUUAAUGAUAAUUCAUUGACAAUUAUUCUCUUGUCUUUUGUAAUCUACACCCAAAAAGUCUAUAAAUAGUCUACCACAAGAGGACAAGAGAGGAAGAGAAUUGGGAGCACAAUUGGGGGGACAAGAGGGAACACAAUUGAGAGCACACAAAAAUAAAAGAGAAGAGAGAAUAAUAGAGAGAAAAGAGAGAAGAAAGAUUGAAACGAGCUACUAAAGAGCUUUUCCAGUGCGGUAAACAUUUAUUUUUCUUUUUUCUUCUUGUCUAUUUUUUUUACAUUAUUAUUGUUAUAGAGUUUUUUUUUACUAUUCUAUGCACUAUGAUAUAAACAAUAAUUUUUUUUGGUUUCAUGAGAAGUUUUAGAAUCAACUAAUAAAAAUCAAUUUGAUUGUUGUAUAAUCGUUUAUUUAUUUAUCAAAUUUGUGAUCUUUCAUCUUUAUUGUGUUUUAUUUCUUGUGCAUUAGAUCUUAAAUUCUAUUAUUAUUAUCGUCAUUGGUUCGCGCCACAUAUGCGUCGCCGACUCGCGGAUCUCCUCUUGAAUUUUUAUCCUCUAUAGUUUAUAAAAAUAAAAAAGUAGUAAAAAUGUUUUCUUUAAAAUAAAACGAUACACAAAUCAGUAUGCAACAUAUCACUCCUAUUAUUAUUAUUAUUAUUAUUAUUAUUAUUAUUAUUAUUAUUAUCACCAUUAUGUUGUUAAUUUAUUUUGAUAUAUAUAUAAAGUAAAAUUAAUAAUAGAAUCGAUCAACACAUAAAUAUUUUCUAUCCAAGAACUACGUGGGUUUUGAUUUCCCUAUUGCACCUGGGAUACGUAGGAGCAAAGUCUUUCCCUUGUCAAACCAAAUUAAUUAAAAAAAAAACAUUUUUCCUUCUUUUAUUAAUGUAAAUAAUUUAUUUUUUUGUUGUUAUUAUUAAUUUGGAGUAAAAAUAAAUAAAUAGUCUGUAUAUAAUUAAUUAUAGGGUAACCAUUUUAACGGACGUAGGGUGAUAAUAUUUUCCCUACUCGUAAUCGACUCCCGAAUCCGAAAUUUUUGGUUCAAAAAUCAUUAUUUUAGGUUUUAUCCAAUUUUUCCUUUAAUAAAAAUAAAAUUGGUGGUAACUCUUUUUUCGCGGACAAACCGGACGCGACAGCUGGCAACUCCACUGGGGACUUUUGAGAGUCAAGCUCAAUUUAAUUAAUUGCAUAUAAUUAUUUAUUAUUUUAUUUAUAUUACUCCUAUUGUUUUAUUUGUUUUAUUUGUUUUAUUUAUUUUAUUAUAUUGUGAAUAUAAUUAUAUGUGUCUUGUUAAUUUAUUUGCAUCGUAACGAUUGUUUUAUUUUAUUUUAUCUUCUGGAUGUACAUCAUGUUUGGUUGUCAUGAAAGUCUCACCUAGAGUUGACAUUUUCUAGAACGUUUCCAUUUUAAUAGUUUACCUAUUAAUUGGUUUAAUAUUUUAGAAUUGAGUUGUGUGCUCUAGGAACCGAUUUAGAACUAUAGAGCCACCCAUAGUAAAUGUUCACAAUAAAAAACCAUCAAUUAAGAAAAGAACCAUGUAGGGCACAUGUAUAUAUGAAAAAAAAACUUACUCUAGCUAUAUCUCAUAUUUAUCAUAAUAUAUUGCAUAAUCAUGCAUGUUUCAUCUUUUAUUUUAUUUUACAAUAUAUUUUUCUUCUUCUCUUCAUUUUUUUUAGAAAAAGUGAUUGCAUAUUAGGAGGUAGUAAAAUAUUUCAAUUAAAUGUAUAAUCAUUGCAUUCACUUUCUUACAUUCUCAUAACAUUUUCCUUCAAGAAAAAAAAAUAAAAAAACCAAAACAAAAAACCAAAACAAAAAAAGAAAGAAAAAAAGUCUCAUGACACCCUUACCAAACAUGUUCUCGGGCUAAAAUUAUGGAUGAAUUGAAGCAUACAAAGGUUAUCUGGAUCAACUGAAAGACCCUAGGUCUAUAUCAUGGAUGAACAUUAAUAACUCUAACAAGAUUAUCUGAAUCAUGGAUGAAAACGUAGAACUCAUGUUUACCCCUUGAUUUCAUAAGUCUAACAAUUUUUACCUUUAGUCUAGGUCUACCAAAAGUAACUUGUCUACAAGAUCUGAACAUGAUACUAAUGAGAUUCAUCUUCAUCCUCCACUCCCUACUUUUAAGUCAUGGACAUACUUUUUUUACUUUUCACCACAAGUGAACCUGUAGAAGUUGGGUCGUCUAUGUUGAUCUUUCAUCAUUAUCGCUUACUACUUUCAUCAUAAAUAAGGUAACAGUUUUAACGGACGUUGUAGAGUGAUAAUAUUUUCCUUACUCGUAAUCGACUCCCGAAUUCGAAUUUUUUGGUUCAAAAAUCAUUAUUUUAGGUUUUAUCCGAUUUUUCCUUUAAUAAAAAUAAAAUUGGUGGCGACUCCUUUUUUGCGGACAAACCGGACGCGACAUAUAUAAUCUAAUAACUUAUUUUUUUAUUUAAGCAUUAUUAAUUUAUAAUUAACUAUUAUAAACAAUUUUAUUAAUAAAUUCAUUAAUUUGUUUAUUUUAAUAAAACCGUGAGUGUGGCUAGUUUGAAUUGUGAUAUUCAAACUUCGAUUUUUACAAGUUCUUUAUUUAAUUUUGAAAUUUAUUUUUCAAUGGAUUUUUUGAAUAUACAAUUUUUUUCAGAUUUAUUUUUAUUAACAAAAAAUGAUGAUUGAAUAGUAGUUUUUUUUUUAUUUUGAUAAACAAUAAAAACGCAUGUUUAAUAAAAUUAAAAUUCUUGAAUAAGUCUAGAAUAAGUUUUAUUUUUUGGAUACAACAUUGAGUUUUUAAUUUGAGUUAUUACACAAAUAGAAGAAAUUUUUUUUAAAGAUAUUAUAGCAUAUAGUAUCCAAGAGUGAUUGAAUGAGGAUACAAUCACAUAACAUCUUUAGUGAAUAAUUUAAUCUUAUGCGUUAAUUAAAUCCAAUGGUUACUAUUAAUAGUUCUCAUUUCUCAUAAUAACUAUCAAUUCUCACCGGAUACGCUCCCUAUAUAUAUAAUUAUUUAUAUUAUCAAAUUAUAAACUUAUAUAUUCUAAUAUUAUAUUUUUAUACUCCUUUAUAAUACUAGGUAUGUGUUAUUUUUAUUAUUGUGACACCGUUUGUCACUUUCCAGUACCAAAAUAAAUAUUUACUCCAUUAAUGCUACUUACUAAUUUCUACACCAUAACUUGUAUCAUUUUUAAUGUUUUAAUAUAUAUAUAUAUAUAUAUAUAUAUAUAUUCUAUGGUGUUAUUAUUAAUAUGAUUACUAACGAUAUAUUGUUUGAGGAUUAUUAUAAUUUUAAAUAUUUUAAGAAAAUUAUUUUGAUUUUUUUUCUUUAAUAACUUUGAAUAUUUGCUAAAAAAAAUAAUCAAGUAAUUGAACUCAAGUGAUUAAUGAGUUUCAAUUAAAGAUAAAUUGCUCGAGAAUCCGAGUUUAAAUACAGUCUAUAGCAAUUUUUAAUCAGAUUUUACUUAUCUCCCAAUUUUACACAAGUCUUUUAAAUUUUUAUAUUGUCUUUUUAAAUCUGCAAGACUUUUUAAUAUUAAAAAAAAAAAACAAAUUCAAUUAAAAAUACACUUUUAGACCCUAAGGUGGUGAUUUG